rnacentral:lncRNA from 1 species
UUUAUGGUGCCUCUGAAGUAAAUUUCAGUGCAGGGGUAAAACGAUAAUUUUAAAACUUCUUCAAAAUUAUAAUUUUAUAGCAAAAAUUAUUAAUUAAUCUAAUUAAUUAAUAUAUAUUAACCCUACAUUAGGAUCUAAAUAUGAUAUAUAUAGCAUGCAUUUAAAUUUAAAAUUUAAACUUCUACAGUAAAUAUUUUACUGUUA